rnacentral:lncRNA from 1 species
GGAGGAGAUGUAGAGGAGGAGAUAUAGGGGUGGAGGAGGAGAUGUAGAGCUAGAGGAGGAGAUAUAGAGGAGGAGAUAUAGAGGUGGAGAUAUAGAGGUAGAGGAGGAAAUGUAGAGGUAGAGGAGGAGAUAUAGUGGUGGAGAUAUAGAGGAGGAGAUAUAGAGGUGGAUUAGGAGAUGUAGAGGAGGAGAUAUAGAGGAGGAGAUGUAGAGGCAGAGAUAUAGAUGAGGAGAUAUAGAGGAGGAGAUGUAGAGGAGGAGAUGUAGACGUAGAGGAGGAGAUAUAGAGGUGGUGGAGGAGAUUUAGAGGAGGAGAUGUAGAGGUAGAGGAGGUGAUAUAGAGGUAGAGGAGGAGAUGUAGAGGUAGAGGAGGAUAUAUAGAAGUGGAGGAGGAGAUAUAGAGGAGGAGAUGUAGAGGUAGAGGAGGUGAUAUAGAGGUAGAGGAGGAGAUGUAGAGGUAGAGGAGGAUAUAUAGAGGUGGAGGAGGAGAUGUAGAGGUAGAGGAGGUGAUAUUGAGGAGGAGGAGGAGAUGCAGAGGUAGAGGAGGAGAUAGAGGAGAUGUAGAGGAGGAGAUAUAGAGGAAGAGAUAUAAAGGUAGAGGAGGAGAAAUAGAGGAGGAGAUAUAGAGGAGGAGAUGUAGAGGAGGAGAUGUAGAGGUAGAGGAGGAGAUAUAGAGGAGGAGAUGUAGAGGAGGAGAUGUAGAGGUAGAGGAGGAGAUAUAGAGGUAGAGGAGGAGAUAUAGAGGUGGAGGAGGAGAUAUAGAGGAGGAGAUGUAGAGGCAGAG